GAUGCCUGCGAGGAAGGCAGCUGCUGCAGGGCGGCGGGCGGGGGGACCCCGCGGGCCCCCGGCUGAACGUGGGGAGCUGGGGAGGCGGUGCAGUGCUGCGCCUUUAAAACGGGCGCCAUGACGCGGGCGGCGGUUGGUGCGGGCCGUGUGUGGCGGGCACGUCAGGCGGGCCGGGCGCCAGGCGGGGCUGCUGCCCGGUGUCAAACUGAGCCGCCUCAGAGCGCCCCGCUGCCGGCGGGGGGGCGGGAGCCGCGGGCUCCGAAGCAGCCCGUAGCAAUGCUUUGGUUUAGUUGCUCGUAGUUGCUGAAGUAAAAGAAACUUCUAUCCUCCCCAUGCUAACUGUUGACAUGGAAAACAAGGAAAAUGGCUCUCUGGAAGUCAAAAAUUCCAUAGAGAAUGGGAGACCUCCGGAUCCUGCUGACUGGGCUGUUACCGAUGUUGUGAAUUAUUUCAGAACAGCUGGAUUUGAAGAACAAGCCAAUGCUUUUCAAGAACAGGAAAUUGAUGGCAAAUCAUUACUCUUGAUGACAAGAAAUGAUGUACUGACUGGACUUUCAUUAAAACUGGGGCCUGCGCUGAAAAUCUAUGAAUAUCAUGUUAAACCUCUACAGACACAACAUCUAAAGAACAACUCUUUAUAGUAAAUUAUCUAACUGGGGUCAUGUUGUGCCUCAAACAACAAAUAAGCAAUUUGGUUUCAUGUGGUGGAACUUUGUAAAGAGAAAAUAUAUCUAUUAAGAAUUUAAACCAAAUUAUUAUAUAUAUCCUAUUGGAUAGAGUUGGCAAUAUACUAUAUACUGAGUCUGAACUGAGAGAAGUGGUGUGUAUUUUUUACAUAGUACAUAAUGAUUUUCUCUUUUAGGAAGUGUCAAUGAACAUGUUGAAAUAGUUACAUCACUGUAUCCAGAACAAAAGAGAGAAAACACAGCUGCUGUUGAGAUGAGGAAGUGACUGAUGGCCAUUACUGGAUACCCUGUCGAUACUGCACUUCUGCAGUCACAGAGUUUGCAAGAAUACACUUAUAACAUGCCCUUAAUGUGCCUACAGAUAGGAGAGAUCCUCCUCCUUAAAAGACCUCUCUGCUUUGGGUGGCAGUUAAGCUGCCACUGCCCAACUGCUGAGUUGAUAGUGGGUGUGAGAGUGAGGAUGGUCUCAGUGCUGCAGGUCUCUUCGCUGUCACGCUGAACCAGCAGUUUAGAGAGUGGCCUCCUUCUCCUAGAGGCAGUUUUAAAGGAGCAGAACAACAUUCAGCUUCCCUGCUCUGCUGCGGGUCAGCACAAGAACAGAGACACGUGCUACAGCCAAGAACAAGAGGACUUGACUGGUGCUGGGAAAUGUCAGCCAGGAGAGCCCAUCCAUGUCCCAUUCUGUCACACCAAAGGCCUCCAUACACCUUCACCUCUGCGUUGCUCAGUUUUGACAGCAGCUUCCCCUAGGGGUAGUGCAGAUGGCAGUGGCUGUCAUCAGCCCGCAAAGGCAGUCUUCCCUUGGAGUAAUACGCAGACUGAUUUAAUACAUAACUUUAAUUCCUAUUGGGAAGGCUGACUUCUUUUCAAUAUGAUAAUGUAACAGGUUCAUUAAAUUAUUUUUUGCUUAGCCCCUAUAAUUCGGGAAUUGUUUGAUUUAGUGAUGCUCCUUUGGAUCCCAGAUACGUAUUCAACUUACUCCCAGAAUAACAUUAUGUGGUAGAUGCUGUAAAUCUGGGGGAUAGAACUGUAGCCUCAAACACCUGGAGAGCCCAAGGGGAGCACCAUGAAGACUCUAAGUGGCCCUUGGUUUCCAUGUGAGAGUUCCACUGCUUCUGAAGGCUGCUGGUGAGUACAGGAGACCGCUGUUGUAUUUAUAUGCUGCACUUGUGAGCAUCUUCUUUAAAGGAGCAGUCAGCAGUUAUAACUGCUGUAUCAUCAGCUGAUCUGCUGAUAAAGCAACAACAAAUGUCUUGGCAUUGGCAAGCCUGCACUCAUCUCAGGAUGUUCCCUUCAUCUUUCCAGAUGAUUGCUAUAAUCCAGCUGCCCCUCUAUGAACACUGCAGCAGUCACUGCACUGAGGAAUGCCCUGACUUUGUAACAGCUAAAUCGUAUCAAAAAAGGGAGGGAAGGCUCAUCAUUUGCACUGAUGUCUGAUUCAAGAGUAACAUUGCUUUAUCUUGUACUGGUGGACUGCAGCAGGAGGAAGGAAGUAAAGAGUAAGGAACUUGUAGCUGAGUCUGUUCCCCAGCUGGUGGCCAAACCACAGGGAGAAGCGUGGAAGUGGGCAUGCGCAUGGGUGUAGCAGUCCUGUUUCACAAGGAUACUCCUCUUCUUCCUCCCUUCUGUAUAAAUACUACAUGCCUUUUUGCCUGGGCUUCUCUACUUGGAAACACGGCAGGAGUGCAAGGCCAUUAAAACUUGAGCUCGUGACUUUUGCAGUCAGGUGUAGAUGUUAAUAUGGGAAUUCAUGCCUAAUGUCACUCUUGAGGGGUGGCAGAAGCCACCUUUAGUACUUGUGUACUCUGGAUUCUGUUGCUAUGCUUCCUUCUGCACCAAAGUUUUCUCUACUCCCCUUAUUUUUCUACUUUUUUGUCCCUCCGGUAUUGUUUGGUUUGGGUUUUUGUUUCCAGCUGUGAAGUAGCCAGAUGGGAGAGAUACUGGCUAGAUAUAUGGGAGAGAUGUCCUCACUGAUUUAUUAUUUUUUUUAAUUAUUAUUUUAUUUUCUGCGACUUUGAUUUGUCUGAUAUUUUUUACUAUGAGUGUAUUUCCCCCCCUUUUUUUCCUCCCCCUCAUCUUUGUGCUUAUCUUCUAGUGUCUCUCUCUCUUCUGUUACCUUAUGUUCCACUUCUAGGCUGGCCCUCCUGUGCACGUCCAUCCGUUGGGGCCUGGGCUACAAAUGCUCAUCCCCACAGGGAAACACUUACUUGCAGCAAUACCUGACCUGCUAUGGUCAGCUAACAGGACUGAAUGAUUAUGUUUGCUUCUGCCGCACAAGUCAUGAAGUACUCCUCCAGCUCUCUCUGGCAGGCACCUAUAGGGUAUGUGCCCCUUUCCUGGUUCUGUCCAUCACUUUUUUUGUGAGCCUGGCAGAGGUGAACUGCUUUCCUGGGGUGUAAUUUGGUAUGAACCUUGAGGAGGAUGUAGCAAGCUUCAACUCAAUGCAGUGGAGAGUUUGUAAGUCUGUAAUAAAUUUAUGUAACAACUAA